rnacentral:rRNA from 1 species
GUGCCUACGGGGGGCAGCAGUGGGGAAUAUUGCACAAUGGGGGAAACCCUGAUGCAGCAACGCCGCGUGAGUGAAGAAGUAUUUCGGUAUGUAAAGCUCUAUCAGCAGGGAAGAAGAUGACGGUACCUGAGUAAGAAGCCCCGGCUAACUACGUGCCAGCAGCCGCGGUAAUACGUAGGGGGCAAGCGUUAUCCGGAUUUACUGGGUGUAAAGGGAGCGUAGACGGUGAGACAAGUCAGCGGUAAAAUCGCGGGGCUCAACCUCGCUCCGCCGUUGAAACUGGCGUUCUUGAGUGGGCGAGAAGG